rnacentral:rRNA from 1 species
AUUGAACGCUGGCGGCAGGCCUAACACAUGCAAGUCGAGCGAGCGGCGGACGGGUGCGUAAUGUCUGGGGACUGCCCGAGAGAGGGGGAUAACUACUGGAAACGGUGGCUAAUACCGCAUACUAUCGGAUAACCCAUAUGGGAUUAGCGAGUAGGUGGGGUAAAGGCUCACCUAGGCGAGGAUCUCUACCUGGUCUGAGAGGUUGAUCAGCGACACUGGGACUGAGCGACGGCCCAGAAUCCGACGGAGGCAGCAGUGGGGAAUAUUGCACAAUGGGCGAAAGCCUGAGGCAGCGACGCCGCGUGGGGGAGGAAGGCUUUCGGGUUGUAAACCUCUUUCGCUAUCGAACGGGUAGGUGGAGAAGAAGCGCCGGCUAACUACGUGCCAGCCGCCGCGGUAAUUC